UUCAUGUGCAUUUUGAUAGUUAAAUCAGAGUCAUAUUUCUAUGGUUCAGACAUUAGAGUGAGUUUUGAUACCUAAAACCAAACGAUGGGGUUGGCGGCUAAAAAAAAAAGAAAGAAGGAAAAAUGAAAACAGAAUCAAUCGCUCAACAAUUGGGCAAUGGGCCUCAUGCCAUUAACGAAGAAAAACGCAUUUUAGUUCAGAAAACGAGAAAAAAAGCCAAAAAAGUUGUUCAAUAACAGCCGCUCUCUCCAAACUGGAGCAAUCUAAGAAGCAAAUGAUACAAUUUUAAGGUGUUUACACGGGGUAAAGUGUUGAUAACUGAUGUCGUUGUUCCUCAGUUGUAAUUCCUCAAUCAGCAGAAACCGAACCAACAAAUGUUAUCAAUUGAAACAGGCAUAUCUCAUAUCUCUGGUUUGUUAGAUGCCACUUCCAAGAUUUUAUUCCCUACUCAAUAUUAUCAUAUCUAAAUAUGGGCGCUAUCCAGAUGUACACAUGUGCAAUCCACAUGUCUUCUCAUAUAAAAUAUAGACACAUCAAAGACUUAGUUUGCUUUCUUUGCAACAUUUUAUAUCUGUUCUUUAAGCUGUGUAAGGUUGGUGGCUCAAAGAGAUCAUUUUUUCCCUUCCUAUAAUUGAAUAUUUGUUCAGGAUUGUGAGUGUUGGCAGUCAUGUGGGUGAGGCAUGCAAUGAUGUCAAAACAUUAUUGUAGGAUGGUAUCCCCAAAAAGCUGAUGUUUAUGUGAGUGAGAUGGACCAAUAAGAGGACGACAAACAUCAGUAGCCUCUCUACUGAAAGGGACCCUCAAAAGUUUUACCUUUAAGAUUUGUAUCAAACUCUAUGUCACCAUUGGUUCCUUUGGGACCCUUCUUCAUUGGUGUUGACACGUUUUAUUGACCCCUUGACUUAAUCUUCUUCUGGCUUUUUGAAAG